rnacentral:SRP_RNA from 1 species
GCUGGACACAAUGGCAUGUGCCUAUAAUCCCAGCUACUUGGGAAUCUGAGGUGGGAGGAUGACUUGGGCCCAGGAGUUCUGGGAGGACUGUGGUGUGCUAUGCCCACUGGGUAUCCUUGGAGCAGGGACCACCGAAUUGCCAAAGAAGGGGUGAACCAAUCCAGACUAGAAACAACAGGUUAAAACUCUCAUCCUGAUCAGUUUUUCGACCUCACCUGAGAAUAGCCACUGUGCUCCAGCCUGGGCAUCACAGUGAGACAUUGUCUCU